UGGUCUAAUGGAUAAGGCAUCAGACUUCGGAUCUGGGGAUUGUGGGUUCAAGUCCCAU
rnacentral:tRNA from 1 species